rnacentral:rRNA from 1 species
UCAUGGCCCUUACGGGCUGGGCUACACACGUGCUACAAUGGUGGUGACAGUGGGCAGCGAGACCGCGAGGUCGAGCUAAUCUCCAAAAGCCAUCUCAGUUCGGAUUGCACUCUGCAACUCGAGUGCAUGAAGUUGGAAUCGCUAGUAAUCGCGGAUCAGCAUGCCGCGGUGAAUACGUUCCCGGGCCUU